rnacentral:lncRNA from 1 species
AUCACGUCAAUAAUUCAGAAUCAUCUUUGGAAGCAUCGGGUUUUAUGCGGUGUGCAUUAUGGAGUUUCGACAAAGAUAUGCUACUCACGCACACAUUUCACAUUAGAGGAAGAUCAGAAAUGGAGAAGGAAAAUAGUGGAUCUAAUGAUUCAUUAGCGAGUAAGACUUAUCUACGGAAAACAUCGCCAAAUUCACUUCUCUACAUGUAUAUUUUUCUCACUACAUGGCGCAUAUAUAUGCUUAUGUAAUAAUUUGUUUUCGAGUGUUCUGUAUAUUGACUUUGUAAUUUCGAUUUGAUAUCAAU